GUGCUUAACACAUGCAAGUCGCGUGCGCAGUUCGCGUAGCAAUACGUGGAUGGGCGCACGGCGCACGGGUGCGUAACACGUGGGCAAUCUGCCCUCCGAUGGGGAAUAACCCCGCGAAAGCGGGGCUAAUACCGCAUAACAUUCCUUUGGCUACGGCCGAGGGAUUCAAAGCAGCAAUGCGUCGGAGGAGGAGCCCGCGCCCGAUUAGUUAGUUGGUGAGGUAACGGCUCACCAAGACAAUGAUCGGUAGCUGGUCUGAGAGGAUGGCCAGCCACACUGGAACUGAGACACGGUCCAG
rnacentral:rRNA from 1 species